rnacentral:rRNA from 1 species
UACGUAGGGUGCAAGCGUUAAUCGGAAUUACUGGGCGUAAAGCGUGCGCAGGCGGUUAUGUAAGACAGGUGUGAAAUCCCCAGGCUUAACCUGGGAACUGCGUGUGAUACUGGAUGGCUUGAAUUCGGGAGAGGGAUGCAGAAUUCCAGGUGUAGCGGUGAAAUGCGUAGAUAUCUGGAGGAAUACCGGUGGCGAAGGCGGCAUCCUGGACCGACAUUGACGCUGAACGGCGAAAGCUAGGGGAGCAAACGGG